CCGGUACUUUACUAUCGAUAGUAAUGAGCGCUUAAUGCUAUCAAAUUUUUCGCCGUUAGAUCUAUUUUUUUUUUUUUUUUUAUCUGUUAGAUCAUACUAUUCAAUUGCCCACCUACUUAAUAUUGGGGGAUCAUUAUCAUCCUAACCAAGGACACUAUCAUCUAACCACACUUCUCUUUAUCAAAAGGCUGAAAACCUAAUAGCACCAAGCGCUUAGUACUAUUAAUAGUAGAGUAACCUAAUUCUCUCUCUCUCUCUCUCUAUCUAUAUAUUUAUAUAUAGAGUUGAGCUAGAAUAUUCUCAAAAGUACCAAGAGGGUGAUGCUUUUGAAUUUUUAGUCAUUGGAUGGAGAGAUGUAAGAUCGGGAUGAUAGUGGUAGGUGGUGGCAGGUAGAAUUGUGUUUAAUCCAAGGGCUAUUAGUAAUCAAAUAGUAGAUUCAAGGGCUAGAAACCUAGAGGCAUCAAGGGGUUGAUACUUUUAAAAGUAUUCUAGCUCAAUUAUAUAUAUAAAAUCUUGCUACUUAUGUUAAGUAGAAUUUUCUAUUAAAUUUUCAUGUAAUUUGAAUACUUCUACACCGUUGAACUUAAAAAUGUGCCACAUCGACCGUUAAAAUAAUCAUUUUUUAGACCUUUUGAUCACUUAGUACAUGAUGUCAAAAAAAUCUAAAAUUUGGUUUCUAGAUAGUUCCAAUAGGGUAGAUCAUACCUAACGGAGCCGAUCGUCGAAUCGAAUGUCCUAUUAUGAAAAUAACUUACAAGCACAGGGCCUCCCGUACUUUCGAAAGUACGGGAGACGGACUCUAUAUAUAGAGCUAGGCUCCUAUGCUUUCAAAAGUACGGGAGGCCCCGUGCUUGUAAGUUGUUUUCGAUGAUGGGACAUCGGAUUCGGCGAUCGGUUCCGUUAAACUUGAUCUACGUUAUUGGAACUAUCUAAAACCAAAUUUCAUAAUUUUUUGAUUUCGUUUGUCUAGUGAACGAGUAGCCUCAAAAUGAACGAUUGAAAAUGAAAAUCUCAUAAAAAAUAGUGAUAAAGAAUUCAAAUUUUAAAUCGAAAGUAUUGAUCUUGCUACUGAUGUUAAGUAGAAUUUUCUAUUAAAUUUUCAUGUAAUUUGGAUACUUCUACAUCGUUGAACUUAAAAAUGUGCUACAUCGACCGUUAAAAUAGUCAUUUUUUAGACCUUUUGAUCACUUAGUAAAUGAUGUUAAAAAAAUCUAAAAUUUGGUUUCUAGAUAGUUCCAAUAGGGUAGAUCAUACCUAACGGAGCCGAUCGUUGAAUCGAACGUCCUAUCAUUGAAAACAACUUAAAAGCACGGGGCCUCCCGUACUUUCGAAAGUACGGGAGACGGACUCUUUAUAUAUAUAUAUAGAGCUAGUCUCCUACACUAUCUAUAGUACCGGGGCUCCGGUACUAUAGUUUCAUUUUCGAUCUUAGGGUGUUCAAAUCAACGAUCCACACCGUUAAAACUGAUCUAGGGUAUUUAAAAAUUUUAGAAAUAAAAUUUUAUAUUUUUUCGACAUAGUUUACUUUAUGAUCAAACCAUUUCAAAAUUGUCAAUUUUCAAUAGCUACUAUCGCGAGUUUGGAGUUUAACAGUGUAGAAGAAUCUAAAUUUCUUCAAAUUUUGAUAGAAAAUAUUUUAAACUAUCUAGAUUAAGGUUAACAUUCUUGAUCUUGAAUUUAAAAGUCCUAUACUCAAAUUUUAAAGAAUAUUCAAUUUCCACCGUUCAUUUUGACAUAAUUUAUUUACUAAGUAAACGAUGUCGAAAAAAACUAAAAUUUUAUUCCUAAGAACUUCAUACACCCUAGAUCAUAUUUAACGGUGUAGAUCGUUAAUUUGAACACCCUAAGAUCGAAAACAAGACUAUAGUUUCGGAGCUCUGGUACUAUAGAUAGUACAGUAGUCUAAUUCUAUAUAUAUAUUAAUAGUAUUCCAGUCUAAUUCUAUAUAUAUAUAUAUAUAUAUAUAUAUAGAAUUAGGCUGGAAUACUAUUAAUAGUAAAACGCUCUUUUUGCUAUCAAGUUUUUAACCCUUGGAUGAAAAAUUGUAGGAUCAGAAUGAUAUUAGUCGGUUAGAGUUGAGUGGUCCCCCUAGGGUUGAGUGGUCCCCACUGGGUUAUAGUAUUAAAUCNUAUAUAUAUAUAUAUAUAUAUAUAUAUAAAGGUGAGCUAGAAUAUUUCUCGAAAUAUUAGUCCUUUUUUACUUCUAACUUUUUCGCCGUUGAAUCAAUCAUCUUAAUCACCACUAGCCUUUAUAUCAAUUAAGUCUACUCUGUGAAUUUUAGGCCAACUCAUACGCAAAGAGACCUAUAUUAUGUGAAUUUCAACUAUUAGAUUAAGAUUUUAAUUUUUUAAUUUUCUUUCAACUUUUUACCCAGCAAUGGGACUAACAAUCUAACUUACUGACAAACCGUCCCUAGCGCAAGUGGCAAAGAGUUUAGUGGUUGGUAUUCGAGAUCCCAAGUUCGAAGUCUAUUUGCUUCACACUUUCAGCUGAGUUUAUUUUUUAAAAAAAUGAAUGAAGCGAAGAGCAUGCUACCUUUCUCUCUUUCUUAAAAAAAAAAAAAUCUAACUUAUUAUUCGCGAGCCAAUUCAUAUUCAGCUUGUUAAUAAACAAGUCAAGCACAAGCUGAUUUUUUCAGUUUAAUAUUUUAACGAGCCGACUUGUGUUCGACUCAUUUAUAUUAACAUAUAUAUUAUACGAGAUGACCUCAACUCGCUCAUGUUCGGCUCGUUGACAGCUCUAAAUAUGGUUUUCAAAAAAAUUUAUUUUUUCAGUGAAAUAAAAGUAAAACUUUAGAAUAGCUAAGUACAAUUUUAUGGAUCAUAAGAUGACAAAGCAAAUAUGGGCUAAAUUGAAGUAUACCAAAAAAGAAGAAAAAAAGGUUGAAGGUGCCAUUCAAAAUAACCUAUAGUUGAGAGGUCUCCAUACAUUUUUACCUUUGAAACAUUCUUUUUUACUAUUUGAAUCGUCAAUCUAACUUUUUAAAAUUUUAAUUUUAGUACCUAAUUUUUUAAUUCGGUUGAUUUGGAUGGAUCAACAGUACUUUGACUUUAAAAAUUAAGUUGAUUAUUUAUUUUAAUAAAAUUUAUAGUUACGAAAAUUAUAUAAAGUAUACUAACUAAGUAUGUAAAGAUAAAUAAUAUAUUCAAAUUCUAAAGUCAUAGUGUUAUUGAUCGAUUCAAAUCAAAUAAAUUAAAAGAUCGUGUAGUAAAAUCAAAAUAGUCCGUUAUUCAUACCAGUUCUGUGUAAACAUGUAAGGAUGGAUUUGAAAAGAGUCUAUAGUUGAGGGGUCUAUUCGUAACAUUCCCACCCCACCAACCCCCUUCUGCCACGUGGCAAGGAUCCGUGGAUCCGAAAGCAAAGUCGGCGACGACAUUCUCCUCUCAACGCAUUCUCUCUUCUUCGUCUUCUUCGCGCGAUCUCCCUCCUUCCCCCCCAACUCCGAAACCCUAACCCUAACCCUAACCCUAACCCUUAUCGCUAAUCCCUACCCCAGUUCCCCCGCAUCCGCUGCUCGUUCCCGUCGCUGCAGGUAACGCACUAGUAACGAUCCUCCUCGUCUUCUCCUCCCUCCUUUCGUGGGAUAUGUGGGUUCCGACGUUGAGAUCUCGGAUUUGGUGUUCUAGGGUUUCGGUUUUUUUGUUUUGGGCGAUUUCUGUUGGUGGAUCGGUGGAGUUGUUGCGAUUGCGGAGUCAAAUGCUAGAGGAGGAUCUGGUGGAGCUCAGAUUCCGGUUGUACGAUGGAUCGGACAUUGGCCCGAUGCGGUACUCGUCGUCCUCCACCGUCGCCAUGCUCAAGGAGAGGAUCGUCUCCGAGUGGCCGAAAGGUACGAUCCCUCGUUUCGCUCCCCUUACCGGAUCGUCGUAUGAUGCUCUUUUUGUUCAUGUGAAUUCAUAUACAUGGUCCUAGAUUGUUGAUAGUCGUAUGGAUUGGUUUGGUUGUAUGUUUCUUGAGGGUUUAUGUACUUAGGAGAGGGAAAUUUGGAAUUUCUUUUCAUGGAGGUGUAGAUUCACAAGAACAUUCUUUAGGACAAGUGGUACAUGGAUGAUUUGGAAUAAGAAAAUGAGGAAUCGUAUAUGAAGGAACUUGAUUUAGUGAGGAUAAUCGAGAGACAGGACCGAAAUGUCGAGUUUUGAUUCUUGCGAGUAGAUAGCUAUUUUCGUAUUGUUCUCUUCGAUACUGGAGAGCUUUUGGGUAUUGUGAUGAUGAAAUGGUCGGAACCUAAGCAUUUCAUGCUUCUGAAUGCACUGGCCUAGGUAUCUCAAGGAUUCACAUAUAUCAAGAACUUGAUGUUUGCCAUGUUAGCUUUGUUGUCGAACAUUUACAGGUGUCAUCUACUUUCGGGAGGGGAAAGGAAAACAGCUUUUAUUUGGCACCGGACUUUAGUUGAUUCUGUGAAUCUACUACAGUGUCGACAAUAAUCUAAUUCGCAAGGAAGAAGUGCUUGUUCCUGUUAGCUCUGUUGUCCGGCUUUUAUGGGUGUCAUCUGCUUUAUCAGGAGAAAGGCAAUCAAUCAACUUUUGUUUUGCACUGGGCUUGAAUUGAUUCUGUGAAUCUACUACAAUUUCUACAGUAAUCGAAUUGAUUCCGUGCUUGUACCUGAGUGCCUCUUUUAGCACUUGGUUGGACUGUAGCACAUGGAUGACACCACUGUUAUGUCUAAGCUUCAUUUUUGUGUAAAUUAUAAAACUCUUACACUAGUUAAAAAUUUCGAAGAAAUCCCUAAGUGAUAUUAAGCAUUUCAACAACAAUAAGAGUAACAGUAGCGACAGCAGCAGUAAUUAAGCCAAUAGUCUCACCAGUUGGAGAUUGAGUAUAUGGAUCAUUUUAUCCUAUUCUGCUUAGUUUGGAGCCUGAUACUUCAUCAAAGAAAGCGCUUUAUUGUACUUUUCACACUGUCUCCUCUCACAUAAGUUCUGGUCCUCCCCUUUCUCCCAAGGCAAGUUUUGAUUGAAAGAUAUAACCUUUUCUUCUAGGCGCUAUAUAUUUUCUUUCUUAGAUGAGUUAUAACAUCUUAACAAGUUAAAUAACCAGUUCUCCUCGAAUUCUACGCUUAUUAUAACAUCAUUUUCUUCAUAAGUUCAUAAUUUUGAACUUUAGUCUUUUUCAUUCAACCUACUGUAAAGUUUCUGUUCAACUUGAUGUGAACAUUUAAUCAUAGAAAGACUUUUCCAUAAUUAACCAAUAUGUUUUAGCUUGUGCUCAGUUUUUGAACACUCACCCCUUCUUAUACAAGUGAUACAAGGCCACAGAAGUCCUUUUAUGCUCGAGUCCAAUUUGCUAGUUGCUGUUACUAAUGUGAUAGUCGGAUAUUGGGGUGUCACAAAAUCACGUGUGAAGUUUCUCUUUUGAUUCGCUUGUUAUGCAUCUCAACCUUUCAGAUCUUUCACAAGCAGUUACAAAAUUAUUCCUUUUCAUACUUCUCUUAAUGAUUGUGCUGUGUAUAACGAUGCUUUACUGCAUGGAUAUGCUAGUGCUAAUAAUCAUAUUGUGCUGCUCCUUAAUUUUUACCUUUUCAAAUGCCCUGCUUUAAGUUCCAAUGAAAUGCGAGAGUAAAUGCAUGUUUUCUACAGAUAAAAAGAUUGCCCCAAAAGCUGCUACUGAUGUGAAACUGAUAAAUGCGGGGAAGGUUUUAGAAAACAACAAAACCAUCGGUCAGUGCAAACCAGCUUUUGGUGAGUUACCUGGUGGUAUUAUCACCAUGCAUGUUGUUGUGCAGCCAUCAUCAAAUAAGACGAAAGGUAUUCAUAUUUCUAUUCUUUGAGCUGUGAAAUAUCUUCUUUGGCGUUUCCCUUUCAAAUCCAAUUCGUGGAAAAGCUAAUAUCUGAAAGUUCAGAACAUUCUCAUUGUAAAUAUGAAUUUGAUUUUCUCGGCUUCUCAUUGUUACCGUAAUUUAUCAGGCUCCCUUUCAAUUCUCCGCUAUGCUAUCCAUGUUGAUAGGUAUAUUACUCAAGACCUGUCCGUUUAGGGUGCAAGUUGGCUUUUAUUCCUGAAACUGCAAAUUUAUACACUGGUGAAACUUGCCUACUAUUGGUUGAGGUUAAGUGGGUCUAGAAACCAUUUAAAUUGGCUUUUCGCAACUUGCUUUACCCCAUCUAUCCCACAAUGCCGUCUAAAUAUUAGUUCUUGCACUGAUGGUUAAUUACUCUAUUCAACACUGGUGGUUAAAUCACGAUAUCUAACAUUUCCUAUGGUCAUUGUUACUCGGACAAAUACUAAUAAUGCAGUUUAGAGAACAUAUAUUUGGAAUUAGCGUAACAUGGUUAGGGUCAUUUUGCCAACUUGUACUGUUCCGUUAUUCUUAGACCAAGUUGAUCCCUACAAUGUUCGUGCACCAAAUGUUAUUUUUAAAACUUGUAUUCUCAUAUUUUGCGUGAUUUUGCUGAACAAAAUUUUAUUUACAAUAUACUGUGAGUAGCAUCAUUCCUGUCGAUGUCCUUUUCAGGCAAGAAGCAUGCUUAGGGCAGUUGUAUCAAUUUCAUAAGUUUCAUUAGAUUGAGUUGUGAAUUGAGUAGCUUUUACAUCAUUUUGCAUGAAUCUUUUUUUUUCUUUUUUUUUUUUGAAGUGUUUGGAAACGAAACUCUGGUCUGAAUUCAAUACUAGGGAUGACACCUUACUUAUCUGUCGUUUUUUUGAACCUUUGGAUGUUUGAACCACCGAAAGGUUGUUGAUGGUGGCUAUGUUAUUUCCGUAUGAUAUCCUUUUACGACAUGUUUGGUACGCGACUGGAAUUAUAAUCCGAAACAGGGUUGGAAUGGGUUGGAACCAACAUGGGAAUGACCAAUUCGAUUAGUUUUUUUUCGAAUGGAAUGAAUAACUACCAUUUUGCCUUCGAACGAGAUUAGACUUUGGGAUUAUAGGGCAGAGUUAAAACCGGUGGGUUAGAUGAGUCCCAUUCAGCAUCAGAGUGGGAGUUGGAAUGUGAUUCCCUCGAUCAAACGGUCGUCAUAGGAGAAUGAUCAUGUCCGGUUCCCCAACUGAAGUGCAAAAUUUCCGCAACCGCGCAUGCCCUUAGAAUACAUGAUUAAAAAUUAUCAGUGCUUUCACUGUUCUGUGAGGAGUUUUUGGGCUAUUAUUAAGCCUACAAAACCUUUUACAUAGAAAAAUAGGCAUCCAAAAUUUAAUAUUCACCGUUUUUACUCUAAUUUAUAUAUUUUCUAUAUCCAAAUUUUAAAACAUGUAUAGUAUUAAACACUAAAAGUAGCUUUAAUCCUUUGAAGAAAGUAUUUAGAAAGCGGUAAUUCAUUCACCGUAUAGAUUUAGUUUUGUAAAUAAACGUUUUGGAGGACUUUUUUUAUAAUUAUAGUAUUUUCUAAGUCUUUUAAGUAAAAAAAUUUCAUUGUGUGAUCUUGCAGAAAAGAAGAUUGAUGAGUUGCCGGAGAAGAAGACGCCGUGUUCUUGUUCCAUACUAUGAAGGGCACGACACCCCCGCCUCUUUUUCUCUUCGCCUCUAUUGCGAGCUCACGCCCGCUGUCCUAUAUAGUCUCUCAAUGUGUUGUCAAAAUGUAGCGAAAAAUUAGGGGGAAAAAAAGGAAAAAAAGGAGAAUAGAAUCACGACCACGAUUAAUGGAAUUGCUGGUUCAAAAAGGGGGUUGUUAUCUGUGUUGUAUUGUUUUGUACGUGUAUUAUUGUUUGUUGUUUGUUGUUGUUAUUGUUGUUAAUGAGAGAAGCAAGAGGAGAGCAUGUCGUCGGCUAUACACACGCAUAAUCUCUGCUCUUUAUUUAGCUGCGUUUAGGAGUGGCAAUCCAGCUCGUGUUCGGCUUGAAAUGAGUUCGAGAUUGAAUCGCUGAAUUUUUCAGCUCGUUAAAUAAACGAGCCGAACAUAAGUUGGGGUCAGCUCGCUCGUGUUCGGCUUGAUAACAGUUCGAAUAUAUAUAUUUUAUAUUUAUAUAAUUUAUUUAAUAUAUAUUUAUAUAUAUAUAUAUAUAUAAAUAAUUAUAUAUAUAAUAUAUAUUUUUAUUAUUUCGUCUUUAGCAAAAUUAAAAUAUAAAGUCGAGCCCAAUUAUAAAAAAAUUUAUUUAUAUUUAAAAUUUUAAUCAUUUGAUCAAAGUCUAAUGAAUAACAUUAUAUAAAUUUAAUUUUUAUAUGUAUCUAAUCUAAUUCUUUUAACUUAUUGUUCGUUGGAGCUGGCCCCAGCUCGCUCGUGUUCGGCUCGUUGACACCCCUAGCUCCGUUGCCACUGAGACCCCUGAACUUUUAAAUUCAAACAUUUUAGUCCUUAAAAAAUUUUUCCUCGGCUAUACACGCACAAAAAAUUGAUGACAGUUUGAGUUAAUUUCGUAGGGAUAAACCACCAGGAGACCUUCGGUUAGAGUACUAGAGACUCGUAAAACAAAAGCAUCAUUCACUUUUUUUAAAAAAAAUAUUGGUACCUAUAGAUACUCGCAGAUUGUCCAAAAUAUCCAUAAUUUAAUAUGUAAUCAUCCGUUUUACUCAUGAUUUUUUAGAUAAAAAAAAAAACUAAUACCCAUACAUGCAAACCUGCGAGUAAUUCAUAGGUACAGGUAGAGGUUGCCAAGUCCGAACACAGCAUAAAAAUCCAGCAACCCAACCGAAACAGAAUGAAGUUGAGCGACCAGUUACAUAAUCGGUCCGAGAAGACUCACUAAAAUGAGGCCUCAGUGGUGAUCAAGCCACUUUGUGGGAGAGCCAAUAUCCCCGCGCGGCGCGGUCCAUCGAGGAAAGCGAGAAGUGCACCUUAUAACAACGAAAACAUGUGUAAUAUACUUGCAUGUACAGCACUUGUUGUGCGACUCGGGUUCAUCAGCAACUGUACAAACUAACAAUCAGAUUCAUCACUAAAGAGGAAAAAACUAACGAAGAAAGAAAAAAGAUCCACCCCCCUCAGACCGCAGUAGUAGAUGUACUUCCUCGACAGGCACGGCAAAACGCUUCAAACACAGCAAAAGCAAGUCGAAGAUAAUGAUCAUAUCAAGUUCCGGUGUAAUCCUCGGCUCCUACCAAGAGUGCUAUGCAUGUAGUGAAAAUGGUGGGUUAGUGUUAGCAAAGAGUCAGUGAUGAUGGUUCUCUCUUGGUAGGCGUUUGUUUCUUCAUGGAGGGGGAUCUGGAAUCACUACAAAGCCCUACAUCGUAAAAUCCGUUUCAAAACAGGCGCAAUGAAAUGCAAUCACCUUCAGGUCUUUGUGCCGGCGUUUCAUUGCUUGGGCUUCUUCCGACAAGCACUCAACUUGUCCAUCAGAUCUUGUAUUGUAGCGGAAGCUUCCUUCAAAAGCAGAGAGAGAGAGAGAGAGAGAGAAGAGGAUGAAACCAAAUGGUAGAGGGGAUCUAAUAAUAUAACUGAAGUACUUGUUCGGGAAAAAAAAAACAAAGUAGAGAGCAGUGUUUUUCUACCUUUAGCUUCUUCCUCAAAUUCUCCUCCUCUUUGUCACGACGGGUCCUUUCUUCCGAAAAGAUGUCGAUUAGAGCUUCUUGCUCGCUGCUUGCGUGCUCCAGUUUUCUAUUUGCAUCUUCCAGCUGGGAGAUUCGUAAAGCAAUUAGAGGUUAAGAAACACAUGACAGGCAUAGAAAAAUUCCGUCUUGAUUAAGAUAAUUCGAAAGAGCAGAUCCAUAUAAAGGCGACAGCUUAUUAUGACAAGAAGAGCUGAACGCGUUCCAGACAGAUCAAAUUCUCUACGUUCACAUCAAUUCAGCACUUCAAAUUGCUGAUGCCCAGGCUAGCAUUGUGGACUUAGUACGACUUAAAGAAGUGGCGAGGGCGAGUUGAGAGUGUCUCGAGGGAAACAAAAUAUUACAUGCAUAUCAAAUAAGACGUAAGGAGACUGUAUACUGAUUGGAGGUUGAAAAGCGUGAUACCGAGAUAAAGCAUAGAUCGGUGAUUAUAUAUCUGAAUGAUUAACCGCACAAAAGGCGGUGAAGACAACUAUUAAGAUUACGUCUUUAAAUCCACAUACAUAAUUUCAACAACUCUACUUAAGAAGGCAUUAGGUUCAGAUAUGUGAGAUGGAUUGAACUUACUUGCUCAGUUAGUGAUUUAUUCCUAUCCUUCUCAAUCUGCAACUCCCGUAACUUUGACGACUCCAUUUUUGAAAUCCUGGAAAAGAAGAACAUUUCACAACUUUAUCAGAUAUAGAUGCAAUGAAAUUGUUACUUUAUCGCAACUCUUUGCAAUAUGAUCUCGUACUUUUCCUUCAAGGCAAGGUUUUCAUCUUUCAACUGCUGGAUAGUGAGCUCAGGUGACAACUGACGAGCUGGUGCUUUCCCAUUGCAUGUUGCUUUAACUUCCUGCAACUAAAACCCAAACGAAAAAAAAAGAAAGAAAGAUGGAUCACAAAUACUGAGUGUUGCCGUAAAUAUACCGGCUGGAAAUUACUUUUGACACAAGCUAGCAUGUUCUAAGCUAACUCAGAAUCUCAAAGCACAGGUUUUACCAGAUCAGUAGCAUAUAAAAUUACAAUUACAUGCAUAGAUUAAAUACCAAAGCAUGGAUAGAUGAGGCAAAACAGAUUCUCUUUAUAUAAUGAUGCCAAACUGUGGAAUGGAGCUCAAUAUUCUUAUUCUAUUUUAUAGUGUUCAGACAAUUUUCCAGAAAAUGAGAAAUACCAGUUUGAACACCCUCUAGGGUUGUCAUACUGAGAAAGGAGAAAGACAAACCUGCUAAAAGUGUGCAAAUCUCUGAAAGUUGAUUCAAUCUUAUCUUUUAAUGGUCUAAUCUACCAACCUUUAAUUUGCCGGUUACCAAUAAGGAAACUAAAAUAUCUCAAGAUUAAUUAGACAUUUCGAAUGGGUUGAUUACAAAUUUGGACCUUGACCUUAGAUACAAAUCUCAACCUUAGACUUCUUACUGUAACAAUUUAGUCCCGGAAGUUUGCCCUUAAUUUCAAUUUCAGGCUCCAAAUUUCAAUUUGGUUCCUGAAUUUUGAUCUCCGUUUCAAUUUCAUACCUGAAGUUUGACCUUGAUUUCAAUUUUGUCCUCAGAGUAUCAAUCUUACGAAGGAAAGAUCUGACAAUGGUGCUGAUGCGGCACACUUUCAGAUGGUAGAAAACCAAACGGAGUUAAUUGUUAUGCAGAAAAAUGUUCAGGGACUAAAUUGUGAAAUCAAGGAGAAAUAUUUAGGGACUAAACAUGUCAUUAAUCCCUUUCGGAUUUAACAAAGGAACGGUACUUACCUUUGACUUAGAUCUGGUCGCAAUUCCUUCGAUUGCUUUAGCACCACUAGUUGCACUAUUAUUCACUCCAGCUCCUGCGUCAACCGGGCGUACUCGCGAAGGCAACGGUGAAGACCUACUCCCCUUCUGGAAGGAUUUUUGAGCAGGAGACCUACUCCCCUUCUGGAAGGAUUUUUGAGCAGGAGAGGUCUUAUGGCUACGAGAUCUGAAUCUCUCUGAGGGGGCAAACUCUGGGUCACUCUCAUCAGAUGAUUCAUUCAAUUGUGACUGUGAAGAUUCGGCACUAUUAAAUUUCGAGGACAAUGACUUCCCACCCUUCUGAUUUUUCUGAUUCAAGUUGUAUAUAGACUUCUCUGAUUGUUGAACUUUGGCUGAAUCUUUCGACUUGCCAAAAUUAGAUGCACUUGCUGGAGAAACUCCCUUCCCAGAUCGAUGAGAUGAUGGAUGAGGAGCAGCCUCGGGUGAGCUCUCUGCCACAGAAUGGCAAUAGUUUCAAACUUCAAUAAACACCGAGCUUAUGCAGAUGCAAGGUUUUAUACUGAAUUUGUAGGUGAAAUAUAUUAACAAUAAUUCUUAUAUAUGUGCCUGUAAUGAACAGAAUCCUUCCACAAUAGGGUCAAACUGAAGCCGUGAUAUAAGCCAUAAAUCCAUAACAUAAUCAAAUGACGAAAGAGUUUUAGAGAUCCAAAUCUGACCCCAAGUCAUGCCAUUCUAUGAGUUAAUACUUGGCAAAACUAAUGAAAGGGGGGAACAAAAAUCCUUGAAAACAGGAAGGACAUUAUAAAAGAAGGAGAAGCAACUUAGAAGAUUAGGGAUAGUAAGGAAUAGGUCAAUUUUUGGGAGAAAAAGUGGGUUUCAAAGCACCUUUCUAGAUUUCAGGCAUUCAGUUUAACAUACAAUCUACUUUGCUUAACUUUAGAAGAGUUAGAAGUUCUUUCUAUACCUCUAGCAUCUGAUUGAUCAUCUUUCUUAUUACGAAAUUGGACAUAGCCAACUUUAUGAGAGUUCGUUGACCUGGGGGGAAAAAAGAAAGAAGAAAACAUAAGUAACAGAAAGCAGUUUAUUGGUACUAACAUUUCGUUAAGCUAGAUGCCAUAAAUGCAAUAAAAGCAGACCAGUAUGAUUUCUGCAUUUGGACUAAUCGUGCUUCAAGUCGAGAGAGAAUUGUUGUCCGCUCAAAAUCCUGUUUAUCAUGAGCUGGUUCAACGAAAUUGGCCUCCAAUACACCUGUAGUAUAGCAUGUCGAAUAGUUGUAAAUUUGUCAUCAUUGCAAAAAUAUUAAGAAAACAAAAGAACAAAAUAGGAGAUACCGAUAACACCACGGCCACCACUACCAGCAGCAGUCCAAACCCUCCAGAAAGGCUAGAGAAAAAGGAGGAAGAAAAAAAGAGAAGUGAAAACCUUGCAUUGUAGGAAGCACACAAAGUAGAAAAAAGGAAAAAACUUGUGUUUUUGGCAUAGUUGUCAUCAGGCACUUGAGAGUAACUUCAACUAGAAUAAUCAAGGAUGCUCGAUAGCUCCAAAUUGCAUAUAUUUGUAUACUUGCAUGCAUGUAAAUGUCAAUUAGAAUGCUUUCAAACCAGUAGUUGUUUCCUAGAAGCUUUUGGACUAGACAUUGUGAUUCACCCAAUAGGGAAAAGAAAAACGUGAUUCAUGGGUGGAGUUCCUGCACAUUCAUCUAUAUGCCUGAGUUCUAUCCAUCUUUUCCGAUAAGCACUUAAACCUUAGUGCUUUCCUUGCAAGUAUAGCAAUCUUCAACUACAGAGGUAGGGCUUCACCUUACUUACAAAAGACCCAAAAUUUUCAGCAUGAGAUGCGAUGUUGCUAUCUUUCAUCUCUAACGAAAGUCAUAUUAUUUAAACCAUGCCGAUAAUGAUGUUUGUUUUAUAAUUUUUUGCGGUCUAACAAUACUUCUUUAAAGUUUUAAAUCACAUUCACUUCAUCUUUGAGUUAGGAAAAAUUGUUCUCCAAUACAAUGGAUUUUGCAAAGAAGUCAAUCUUAGCACGUGUUUGUGGUCAGAAAUAAAAUUAAUGGACUCAAAGCUGUUCUUCGUAACUGGAUCACCUUUGUGGCUUUUGGCUUCAGACAAGUUGUUCUCUACUUUCCUUCCUAUACUAGUGAAAUACCCGCGCGAUGCUGCGAAUAUAAAAAUAUUUUUAUAAUAAAUUUUACUUUUUUUAAUAUUUUUAUAUAGUUUUAUAAGUAUAAUUAUUAAUUAAAUAAAAGUUAUAUAAAAAUAAUUUAAUAGUUAAACCUAUUUAAAUAAAAUUCAUUAAAAUUAGUAUAUGCGCAAAGUAAAUUUAUCGAACAAUUUAUUUUAUAAAGAUUUAUAUGAAAAGGAUUUGAGAUAAAUCUAUCAAAUAAAAUUGUAGAAGAAAUUGUUUAAUAAAAAUUAAUUAUAUAUAUACACAUAUAUACAUUAUAUUUCUAAAAUUUUACUCCUGAAAUUUAAACUCUGUAUUUUUUUAAUACAGCGAUAUUUUACGUGAUUUAAAUUGCAUAUAUUAGGUUAGAUUUUAUUACGCGGUUUAUUACACGUAUUAUUAAUAAAAUUAAUUAAAUAUAAUAUAUUAAUUAAAUAUAUUAUAGAGAUUAGAGAUUUUAAAUUUUAAAUUUUGAAGUUUAAAAUUUGGAAAUAAAUAUUAUAAGUUAAAAUUAAAAUUGAGAAUUUAAAAUAUAAAAUAUAAAAUUUGAAAUUUAAAACUUUUAAAUUUGAAAGUAUCAAAAUUUUAAAUUUUGAUAUCAAAAUUUAAAAUUUUAUAUUAUAUAUAUUCAUAUAUGUAUAUAAUAUAUGUAGAGGGAGAGUUAAUUAAUUAAUUUUAUAGAGUUUAGAGAUUUAAAAUUUUAAAUUUUGAAGUUUAAAAUUUGAAAAAAAUAUUAUAAGUUAAAAUUAAAAUGAGAAUUUAAAAUAUAAAAUUUAAAAUUUAAAUUUAAAAAUUUAAAAUUUGAAAGUAUCAAAAUUUUAAAUUUUAUAUUAUAUAUAUAUAUAAAUAUAAAUAUAUAUAUAUAUAUAUAUAUAUAUAUAUAUAUUAUAUAUCAUUUAUAUAUAUAUGUAGAGGGAGAGAGAGAGUAAAGGAGGGUUUGGGGGGACACGUGUCACCCCUUGGUCCCCCCAAACCCUCCUUUAAUGUAGCAGAAAGAAAGAAUAGAUUUUUCUAAAAUAUAUUCAAGUUCCAGCCUGCUCCAAUAUUUGCUUAAAAAGGUUCAACUGAGCCGCUGGUAUGAAGGAUUUCUUUUCUUAUUUCUCCCUCUUAGGAAACUUAAAUAAUAUAUCAUUGAGAGCACAAUAAUUAGUAUGUUUGCACUAAAAAUUUGAAAAGUGGUCUGUGAAUAUAGGAAGACAUGAGAGCAAAAUAAACAGGACAAAAAUAAGGAGAUAUACCUUUAUUAGUAGAAGAAAUAAGGAGAUAUACCUUUAUUAGUCGGUUCUUGUGAUAAACAUUAAAUCCCUGAACAUCAAUGUGAUGUUUUGCAUCCUUUACAAAACCAAUUGUCACAACAGCAACCAUCUAUGAAGUGGAAAAGAUGGGUGGAAAAAAAAUCAGAUAUAUAUAAUUUGAAGUACAAAGGUGAAGAAAGGGAAGCAGAAGCGGGUAUAGAGCUUGGCAUUACAUUAGGGUCCUUUGAAUGCCCAUCAGCAUACUGCGGCCGAUAUGUAACCUCUUGCUUAUGCAUCAUAUCAUUCACAAUAUUGUGGUGUUCAACCUCCUUUCCACGCAGAAUCAUUCUAAAGAAAUGCGGAAGUCUGAGGUAGAGAAUAGAGGCAUAACUCUGCAUGUAGGGAAAAUAGAAUAUAGCCAUAAAAUAAAACAUAUCAAUCACAUCGAAUGCCAGUGGAUGUUAGCAACGCAAUUUCAAUGUAAGACUAAUUACAGUUAAUUAGGGUAAUGUAUGUUACUCAAUUUUGAUGAUGGUAACUCAUCAAAGAAGGGAAAAACAGUUAAUUGUAGCAAUAGAACUGCCUUAAAAACUAUCCAUCAAAGCAUAUCAUUUUUUCGAUGAUACUCUGAUUCAUAUCAAAAGAUGAAUUGGUUGCAAACAUAAGGUGAUUAAGACCCGAUGAUUGAUGAUUUGUUGUAUAACAUUAUUGAACUUGAGAGGAUAAUUUAUUGUAACGAUAUUAUACAACGUUACACACAAGUAAUCUCCUUAUUUCCACUAGCUUGCGUUUUGACUUGUCUAUAGUUUCACAACUGAAAAUUAAGGCAUCAGCAAAAGAAAAGGGCAGAUACUCUUUUUGCAUGCUUUGAAGAAAUGCAAACCUGUUUUGCUUUUGAUUGCACUGCAGUUACUCUCUUUUGCAGGUUAAUUGUCAACUACUAACAUCCAAAGCAACUUGAUAGAAUAGAAGCAACUUUACGAAAUGACCAUCACUAUCACACAGUUAUCUGGUUCCACGAAAGUAGGAUCACUACAAGGGAAUAUUAGUAGAUGGUCCCAACUUCAACAUUUGUAUGUUAACUUUUAAUAAACAAAUUAGUUGCCAUGUCUUAGCAUUAAGUUAAAGAGACAGAUAAAACUUAAAUGCCAUUAAAUUAGACAAUCAGCUAAUAUAAAAUCAGAAUUUUUUUUUAAAAAAAAUCAAAAGAUAAAAGUUUCAACAUGUUUAACUCUACUGGUGACAACAACUACAUUACUACGUCGCUUAUUUACUAUAAUGGGAAGCAAACUGCUCUAAAAAAACAUCAUGUGGCUAGAAAACAAUAGCACUUGCACUUUUCAGGCAGCGUAUAUGACUAGAGCAAGGUGAGUAAGCAAGCCAUAAGAGUAAAAGAAGAUAGUGAAACUACUACAGAAGAAGAGAAACAAUGCUACUUAUAUGAUAUUCUACACUGAAGUCCAGAAGAGUCACCCUUAGAGAAUGGCGGUAUGUCAGGAAAUGCUUCGAGUUUGGAAACUGCUUAGCCAUUUGAAUAUUUUUCUCCUCCCGGUUAGCACCUCUAACUUGAAUGUCCUGCCAUAUCAAAGAACAGCAAAGAUCUCAAGAGACGUAGAGAUUGGCUAUGGAUACUGAUGGUAAUUAUUUAAUUCAGAAAAAGACAAACACUUAAUUGCCUGAAUACAAUGAUUUCCGCGACACGAACUAUUGUAGGGACAGUAGCUCAUCUUACUAACUGGCACUUACAUGUUUGUCAGUAUAAAAAUCGAGUUCCAAUUCUCCUUGAUCAUCCUCCCAUAGGUUGUAUAUCACUAUUCGAGUUCCCUGAUCCUUCAGUGAGCUAAACUGCAACAAGUCAUAUCAUUAGAAAACAGUUAUUCUAAAACUAGCCCUGUACUAUUUUUUAAGGACUUGUACUUCGAGUUUGAGUGCACUAAACAAAUAAAAAUCAUGGUGACAAAGCUGACGUCUCACAAUUUUAGGUUGUCCCAACCCAAAAAGUUGCAACAUAAUGACUUUUUUUAGACAUAAUGAAGAAGAACAUGAGCAUACCAUUCUGCAACUUAAGGGAAUUAUCUCAUUGUCGAACCUUUGGUUUUCUUUUCCUUUCUUUUAUUUACAUACACCAUGACCAAAGAGGAAUUUAAUACCCACAGAAAAGCUCAUUAAUUCCAAGUGAUUACACACCGCAGGUCAUUUUGGGUGGUGAAAGGUUAAAAAACAAAACCUUGGCAACUUACUAACAUAAUAAAUAAUUUAAUAAUGCCAUUUAAGUUGUUAUCAAUAAUUCUAAGGCCAUUUAUAGUUGAACGAAAAGGAUAUUCUGAUGCUUAUUUCUUAGUUGGAUCAUUUAGUCAUUAAAUAGCUGAUCAGCAUUGACCAGAAAACCAAAAUAAAUCUAUAAUCAAGCUUUAAAUAAGAAUUAAAACAUGUAAAACCUAGCAAAGCAUAACUACAAAAUAUAUUUAUUUGAAAUCAGUGUCACAGGUCCAAUGGAAAUGCAUUACCUGCUGAAGAAGAUCAGCCUCACUUGAAUAAGGAGACCAUUUUAUAAUUGUCUCUAAGUUUGUAUUCCAAUCAGCUGGAGUUGUUCGUGUCAUUUGAUUCCAGCCUUUUUCCUUUUCAUAAUCAAGCUGCAAAGUCAGCAUAGCAAUUAAUAUCACGCCGGAAAAGAAAAAGGACUACAGUCCAACUAGAAGUUGAUAAACGAAGGCAAUUGUAACGUAAAAGGAACACGAAGCAAAAGGAAAAAAGACAGAAAAAGAAAAGGAGACCAUUUACAUGUUCCUGAAAGAAAAGAGCAUAAACACAAACCUGAAGAACUAUAAAGAAAUAUAGAUUGUUUUCCAACAGUCGCUUUAAAUAUAUAGAAUGUAUCCUUCUACAUAAAGCUUUAACAGAGAUAACAUGACGUAGAUAACCCAAUAUUCAAUGUCUGAAUUAGAUUCAAAUAUACUUAGUCUUGCUUUUCUGUUCCACAUUUACACAGGCACAGAAUGAAAAGGUAUUAGACUAAGAAUUCUUCCUCUGCCACACUUACUCCUUAAAUCAACUGCACUAUCCCAUCCCAACAAGUUGCAAAUGCUCAAAGCCACCAGCAGUGGAUUCAAAAUAAUAUAGUGUCAGAAGACGGAUCCAUCUGGGUAAUUAAAAUAUCAGCCUUGGCUACGCUGAUUAAUCAUAACUCGUCAUGUUAAUAACUUAGUAUCCCACUGUUGUCUAAGGACUCUUAAGGUUAUAUCACCCAUCAUUGUGGACUCACUUCUAAGAUUAAAGAGAAAUAUCUACAUCACAAAGAAGAUUAUCCACCAAACAUAGGGGUAAAGGAUUUCUGCACGUAGGCUACAAUAGAAAAGUUUGUCAAAGGAUGUAAAUAUAGCAUACCAUUGGUACUACAAUAUCUUCUUUCCCCGUGCUUCGUAGGAAGGUGUACGAUAGCAUUCCAAUACUCUGUGUGGGCCUACAGACGAACACCCAUCACCCGAAUCCGCCAAGAAAGGAAAAAAGAAAACAAGAGAGAUGGAGAAUCAAUCUCUGCAUGAAUGAAAAGAAAACAAUUUGAUGCAAACCAACAUUGUAACUUAACAUUCCAUGAUCCAACAGCCUUUCUUAUAUUUGGUUAACAUUCCAUAAUCAACAGCUUUUCUAAGGUUCCUUUUAGCUAAUCACAUUGUUGAGGAAGGCUUUACAUAUGACAGCGACAUGAUAGAGAUGAUUAAUGUAUACAUGAAUUUACCCACAUUGGUGUAAGAGCAAAUUGACAACCUUUUUCCAUCUUUUCCACGACUACGGGAGAAAACAAUAACAUCAGCUCCAAGUCUCAUGGUGCUAGUCUUGAAGCCAUUUCCAUCUGAAACAUGGAGAAAUCUUGCAUGUUGAUCAAACGUUACCACUAAAUAUCCAUAAAAGGAUGCAUUUUAAAUUUAAAAGUCUAUUUUUCCAGUCGGUAUGUUUGAUACUCACAUUGUCCAAUAGUGCUUGCCAUUUUGCACUUUGCUGAAUAACCCAAGGACAUGCAUUGACGCAUUUUAUCUGGGUCCAUACCACCACCAUUAUCUGCAGAGAGCCACAAAAAUGGAAAACUUAUUUACAUAAAACCUAAACAUAUACUGUACUCUAUUUCACCUGAUUCUAUGUAAAAGAGAAGAUGGAAUUGCUAGAACAUCAUCAGAGCAUAAAUGAUUGCUGAAGAUCAAAUACUAGCCGAAAGAACAAAUAAGUUAUAUAACAUGAUCCAAAAUGUUCUAAUAGUGGCAAACAAUCUGGCUAUACUUGCAGGCGCAAAGCUAGUCAAACUACUCAACAAGGCUUUGUUUUUCUAUCAAUUAGAAAGAACAAAAAAAAGGUUCCCUACCUUCAACCAGCAACAUUCUUGAGCCGCCUUUAUUAUUAUUUAACAUAUCAAUGUUCACAUAUGUAGCUCCAUUGCAAACCUGUAAAUGAAGUUAAUAUAAGUAUAACACCCAAAUGAAGCAAGUGGGAAAAUUUAUGUUGCACAGUUCGAACUAGAAGAGUACCUCAUCAAGAGCAUUAUCCAAAAGCUCAGCCAAAGCUGUUACAGCAAAGAGUAGAAAUUCAUAGAAAUUCGUCAGAUGAAUAGAUCAAAGACAGCUAUGCAAAGACUACCACCUCACUAUUAGCUUUGUAGGUUCCCAUUAUAAAUUAAAAGCCUGUUGGGCCUAAUUAGAGAUUUUAUAAGAGUGCUGUUUUAGCAAAGUUGUUAGAAAAGCACUAAUAGCUUUAAAAUUAAAAUCCUCAAAAGGCAAAACAGCUUCUCACUGCAACAGAUGAAGCAGCUUCACAUAGAAACUUCCACUUUUGGCUUCACAAGCUUAUUUUAGCUUUCAUAAAUAGCAAAAGCACAGAUACUGUUUGAGAAAUGGCCGACAGCCGCUUUUGGUUAGGGAGAAGUCCAAGCCAGACCAGAUCAAGCCACAAUAGAAGAGUCAUUGAAUGACAACAAAAAGUAGCCUCCUCACUCCUCAGAGCCUCAAGAGUUAAAUUAGACAAAAAGUUUACCUCCAAGGGCCCACUUGUGACUGGUAGCAUUUGAAUGUAGAAACUUAGGGUGCACUCUGACAUGAUCCAUCCCUGCUCCUGUAAAUUUUUUUUUUUUCCAAUGUUACACCCCUAAUCCUUGAGUGGGAAAAAAAAAUGUGCCAAAACAGAAACGCCGACUAAAAGGAUAUAGUAAAAGAAAAAAUUUAAAUAAGUAAGCUCACUCCAACUGUCAAAAAUGUAACAAAAGGAAAGGGAUGUUAACAAGCUAUUGAUAGAGCAGAUGUAUUGAAUACCAAUUGAAUACUCUGCAGGUCCAAUGUACCAAUUCUGUAAAUAACAUUUCUAACUCCGUCAAUACAACCACCACAAUGAAAUAGUCAUACAUAAAAUACAAUAGCCAGUUUGGAGCUGGAUAUAUGAAUGGUAACUCUAUAUAUAUAUAUAUAUAUAUAUAUAUAUAUAUGGAGGCCCUUUACUAUAGGCCAUUUGGAAAGUUAUUUUAGUCAAUUAAAUUGGGGAUUUUAUCAAAUUCGCAGUAUAUUCAUCAAAUUUAAUGAUUUUAAUCAUUUAUUGAUAGAUAAAACUACACAAAUUAACGGCUAAUAGCAAACAGAGCUAUUUAAUUUAACCAAAUUUUUGACAUAACUAAGUACAGCAACUCAAUUUUAAAAAAAAAAAAAGAAAUUUGACGUUAAGGGGGCCUCAAUCAAAAUAAAAAUAGUUGAGUCGGCUCUUUCAUAAUGGUCUAUAGUUGAGGGGGUCUUCAUACAUUUUUAUUCAUACGAGAUUCACCAACAUUAACUUAACUUGUCACCUCAUACAUUUUCAUUUAUAUUUGUUGCCAAUAAAUCAGGUUUUUCCAAGUAUAUGCUAACAAAACUUCUACUUCUCACUGUGUAUGAGCAAAUAAAUGUACUCAAAUAGCAUAAAAAUUAUUAAUAAGCACCAAUAACCCACUCAAAAUGACACACAUGCACCAUUAAUAGGAAAUACACGACUAAAAUUGCAUUUCCUAUUUAGAACAAAGGGUUUCUACUUGCGGAUGAUUCUAAGUCACUACGAAUUCAUGAAAUAAUCAAUUGUACUAAAUAUUUCGAAAAAAGAUCAGAAGAACACCUGACAUGGGCGUGGAAUCGACACCGCCGAGGCUCCCAUCGUAGUCCCCGGCCUUCCAAAACUGCUUGGAACCCUGAAUCGCCGCCGCCGCCGCCGCCGGAGACGGCGCCGGAAGCGGGAGCGGCGGCGGGGCCUCCGGCGGGAGCGGAUCGAGGAAGCCGACCGGGAGGGCCUUCGCCCUCGGCCUCUUCGGCCGCGCCCCCUCAGCCUCCGCCUCGGCUCCGGCCCCCGAAACCCUAGGCCGCUUCGCCCCUACUCCGCCGCCGCCCCCCUCCUCCUCCGGGUCGGAGUCGCUGUCGCUGCUGCUGAGCUCGAUCACCGCGUCGGCGGGGGCGAGUGACGGCGCCGCCUCCGCCUCCGCCGCCGCCGCCGCUCCGGCGAUCGGCCGCGGAGGCGCGGGGGAUUCGACGAUCUCCUCCUUAACGAGCGAACCCAUGGGAAAGGGGGAGUGCGAAUUGGAGAAAUUAGAGGGGCUCUUUUGCAAAAAGGAACGAAGAGGGGGAGGGGCGAGGAAAAGGAAAAGGUCUCUUUCUCGGGCUCGGAGAGAGAGGCCCUUUAAAAAUUAAAAUAAAUAAAUAAAUAAAUAAGGACAAAUUUACGCCAGGACCCUUGACAAAAAUUUAUUACAUUUAACUCCUAGAACAGUGAAAACUCACGGUGUUUUUGUGGACCACGUUCACCACGUCAUCAUAGACCUCAACGUAUGCAUAUUCCUUUUUCUGUGAUCUCUACCGUACGUAAGGGAAAUAUUUUCAUAGGUGAGAGAAAGUGAAUUUGAUGAACGGUGGAGAUUCAACGGGGAAGAGAUGGAGGGGUAAAAACUCUUGUGGUCUACGGGUGGCGCAGUACACAUGGUCCAGGUAGUAUUUUCCACCAGUGUACGCAAACGUGCUCUCCCCAACACAUACAAUGCAAUAUUGGGUGGUUAAAUGGUAUGUAGAUCCCUCAACUAUAAGUUAAUCUGGAACUAAGCCUUUAACUUUAUUUUUUACCAAUUAUAGUUUUUUAACUUUUUAAACUAAAAUAAAAAUUUGUUAGUAUCAGUUUAAUUUGACAUAAUCACGGUAAAAUAUAAAUAAAUCAAUAAUUUUAAUGAUAAAAUAAUUUAAAAUUUAAAAUAAUAAAAGUUUCAAAAAUAGCUGUUUUUGAAAUAGCCCCCUCAAUCCAUUUUUUUAAAAUUGAGUUAUUCAGAAAUUUUAUUUGAAAUUGUUUUUAAAACUUGAAACUUUUAUCAAUCUACUAUUAUUAAUUACUUUAAUUUAAUUUGAUAUUAAACUAAUUAAAUUUCCGAGCGUCAUUUUCAAGUCCAAUACAGUUUAGGGCGUCUCAGUGCAUUUUCACUCAGCAUCAAAUUUUCAGGAAAAAAAAAAAUAGUUGAAAAAUAGUUGAGGGCACUUUUCAAAUUUCCCUAUACAUUAGGGGGGAUACUGUACAAAUUUGCCUUUGGCGGGUUCUUGAAAAGAGUCGGCGCAGACUCGUGCUAGGAUUCGGACACGUGUAAAAUGAUCGGCGGAGAUGAUCCGUCGAUUUGAUUGCAUCAGGAUUUGAUUUGACGUGAGAGACAACCCGCUGAGCACGUGAACCGCACGUGAACUAGCGCUAUUUCAAAAUCUCUGGGCACAUGCUACGCACGUGCCAUAAGUGUUUUAUGAUUUUUUCUUAAAAAUUUUGGUUUUGCUCUCCAAGUUUUUAAUUUAUUUUAUUUGAGUCAGUAAAUAAUAUUUUAACUUCAAAAUUUAAAUGAGUCAUCUAUUUUUUUAGGUUUAGUUAGUAUACUUUAUACCAUUCUCGCUAUUAUAAAUUUAGGUCAAUUUGCAUAAAAAAUGAACAAGUUUAGAGCUUUUGCAAAAUUGAGUCGCUUUUUUUUAUUUACAGAUUCGGUCCGAAAUUUCAACAAACUGACCAAAAUAUUUUUAUAUAUUUUUCUCUCUUUUUUUUUCUCUCGUUUUUUCUUUUUUUUUCUCCGAAGAAGGCGACAGAGGCGGAAACAGAAAUGGUCCGCCCCGCCUCACCUCUGCCCCUCACGGUCUCGCCCUCACCCUCGCCCUCGGCCUCGCCUUUACCCGCGCACCCCAGCCCUCCAACCUCACUGAAGCCGUGCUGCGACCAUUUUUUUUUUUCUCCAACCCUCCUCCACCACCGUCGCGGCUCUCCGCAACGAUAGCGAGGACGGUACCGCGUCCUCUUCCUCUGCCUUCGCCCUCCACUUCCACUACAGCAGAUUUUCUAUCCGCCAAACAAAUCCGUCGUCCCCACCGCCGCCGACAAAGAGGAAGUGCUUUUCGGGACCGAGAAGCACGCUGGCGAGGGAGGCGCAAAAAAAUGAUUACACUCCAGCGAGGACGGUGGCUGCGAUAGAGAUAAAGGGAGAAAAAGAAUGAAGAAAAAGAUGAAAUCGUACAAUUAAAAUAAUGUUAUACUAUUUUAAAAAAAAAAUUGUAUUGUUUUAAAUGAAAGUUGUACUCUUUGAGACUGAAAUUACACUCUUUGGAAUGAGAAUUACACUCUUUAGGUGAAAAUUGCACUCUUUGGGUGAAAUUUAGACCAUUUCUUUUUUUCUUCUUCCUCCUCCUCCUUCCCCUCCUUUCUCGGGGUUUGAUUUGACGUCACCAGCUGAGCGCAUGAACCGCACGUGACUAGCGCUAUUUCAAAAUCUCUGGCAUUGUUUUAUGGUUUAUUUUUAAAAGGGAAAACUUCAAAUACCACCUAUGUGGUUUCGUACUGUCUCACUUUGGUACUCUGUGGUUUAAAGUAUAUCACUUUCGUACCAUGUGAUUUUAUUUUUCUCUUUUUGUUAUCCCCACCAUUAAUUUUUUUUGUAACAAAGUUAAAACUAAAGGGUAUUAAAGUGAAUAUUCGAUAAACUAUAGGUAGGGUAUCUGAAGUUGUUUGUAUAUAAUUUAACAAAAAUUUAACGGAGAGACUGAUGAAAAGAGAAAAAGCCACAGAGUACUAAAUUGAUACACUUUAAACCACGGGGUACUAAAGUGAGAACGUGCGAAACCACAGAGGUGGUAUUUGAAAUUUUUCCUUCUUAAAAAUUUUGGUUUUACUAUCCAAAUUUUUAAUUUAUUUUACUUGAGUCAGUAAAUAAUAUUUUAACUUCAAAAUUUAAACGAGUCAUCUAUCUUUAUAGAUUUUGUCAGUAUACUUUGUACCAUUCUCGCUACUACAAAUUUAUUACAGUGCAAAAUUAGCUUAAAUGUUAACUUAAAUUAAAAAAAAUUGAAAUCACUUGUAUAACUCUGCGAUGUAAUCUAUGUGGUGUAUUAUCUUUUUAUAUAGAUAGGUAAAACAUUUUUCGAUCAUAUUUUCUCAUUGCAUAUAAUAUAUUCUUUUCAAUGUUAGAUCUCGAAUGAAAGAAAAUUUAAAUAUUACUGAAAGUCGAUAUUAUAAAUAUGACAUUUAAUACGUUGAGCGCAAAUAUUCUCUUCGGUUAGAUUUUUAUUUCUUUUUGGGAAAGAUAUUAUUUUGGCAUAGUCCACACUUAUACUUGCGUGCAUAAUGCGUCUUACAUGCAGUAAAAAAGUAUAAUAAAAAUAUAUUCACUUUAUUUUCAUAAACAAUAAAAUAUUUUAUAUGUAUUUACAACCGCAUUGCAGUUGUAGCUGCACUACAAUUAUAACUGCGUGCGUAUUCAAAUCUGGCGUUUGCUUUGAUACAUUUAAAUUCAAUUGUUGCAGUUGUAACUGCACAAGGAAGCUGAAUAGUUGAAACUAUGCCCAAAUUGGCUGUAGUUUUAACUGCAGUACUGCAGUAUUUCGAGAGUAAUUUUAAACAACGAUAAACUUACCUUUUUAAUAACCUUUUUAUAAUUUCUUUUUCCUUUCGUCCAUACAGAGUAAUCUCAUCAAUUCAUAUAUAAAAUGGUAAAAAUUCGUAAAUGCACUUUUCAUUUGUAUGUAACCAAACAAAAUAUUUAUAAACUAUAACGCUUUCUAUUACAUCUAAGCAAACAAAAUGUAUGGAAUUAUAAUUGUUGCAUUUUCAACUACACUGUAUUUAUAGUUACGUUGAACCAAAUUGCCCCUAAUUCGGUUAAAAUAUGAUUCAAAAACCAUAUUUAGGUUGGCCCAAUCUCGUCCAUACAAAGUAAUCUCACCAAUUCAUAUAUAAAAUGGUAUAAAUUGGUAAAUGCACUUUUCAGUCGUAUGUAACCAAACAAAAUAUUUAUAAAUUGUAACACUUUCUACUACAUCUAAGCAAACAAAAUGUAUGGAAUUAUAAUUGUUGCAUUUUCAACUACACUGUAUUUACAGUUACGUUGAACCAAAUUGCCCCUAAUUCGGUUAAAACACGAUUCAAAAACCGUAUUUAGGUUGGCCCAAUUUCGUCCAUACAGAGUAAUCUCACCAAUUCAUAUAUAAAAUGGUAUAAAUUGAUAAAUGCACUUUUCAGUCGUAUGUAACCAAACAAAAUAUUUAUAAACUGUAACGCUUUCUACUACAUCUAAGCAAACAAAAUGUAUGGAAUUAUAAUUGCUAUAUUUUUAACUACACUACAUUUACAGCUAUGUCGAACUAAAUGGCCCCUAAUUCGGUUAAAAUGGGAUUCAAAAACCUUAUUUAGGUUGGCCCAAUUUUGUACCCGGCCCGGCCCACGAAAUCACUUGCUCUAUUAAGGAAAAGGCAAAGUAUUAAUUAGGUUUAUUUUCACUCUCUCUCCUAAAAUCAUAAAUUUUAAUUAUGUUAAACUCUUUUUUUUUUUUUGCUAAUUUAAAUUGUUUGUGUUGGAACAGUGAACAUAUUUUUGUUAUCAUUUUGUACAUUUUAAAUCGAAACACUCCAAUACAUAAACUAUUUUUAAACUAUAUAUAAACAGAGUUGGAUUAUUAUACUUUUAUGAGUGUAGAUUCCUUCGUACUCAUCGAUUAUUUUUUAUGACGGAGCUUCCGAAUUGACGGUUCCAUACUAUUAAAUAUGAUGUAGAGUAUUUGAAACUUUUAGAAAUAAAUUUCGUAAUUUUUCAAAAUUAUAUUAAAGUCCAUCAAGCAGGCAUAAAAUGAAUGGUCAAAAUUAAGCGACCUUCUAAAAACAGAUGAUUGAAUUCUUCAAUUUGACAUUGGAGUUAUUGAUCUUUAUUUAGAUAGUAAAUAAAAUUUUCUAUUAAAAAAUUUAACCAAUUCCGAUUCUUUUACACCGUUGGAUUAGCAAGUAUCUCAUACCGGCCGUUAAAAUUUAUCAAUUUUGAGAUCUUUUGAUCUAAGGUAAAUGAUGUUGAAAAAUUAUGAAAUUUGAUUUCUAAAAGUUUCAGAUGCUCUAAACCAUGUUUAACGGUAUAUAUGGAUCAUUGAUUCGAAAGUUUUAUCAUUGAAAAACGACUUAUGAGUAUGAAGACGAUCGUAUUCAUAAGAAUAUAGUAGCCGGACGCAUAUAAAUAAGUUGUUAGCUUUAAUACCACGAAAUUAACUUCUAAACUUGAGUUAUCUCAAGAGUUAGUAAACUAAUGGCAUAGUUUUUUUUUUUAAUCUUCUCUUGAUUGGAUCUUCAUCUUAACAUUAGAAUCUAAGUACCACCCAUUUUCUUGAGGGACAAUAAUUUAAGUUGUAUUCGUCAAGGUGUUUAUAAUAAAAAAAAAAGGGACAUGGCAACCACAUGCAUGACCUAAUCUAUUAUUAGAAAAAAGAAAAGAAAAGAAAAGAGUACAAUUAUUCAACAACAAUUCAUCCAUAACUAAGAGUACAUAUUUUUAAUUGUGGACAAAAGAACACCUAAAAUAAUUAAUUAAAACAUAAUGAUAGGAGGUCAUGUACAAAAAUUAUGUAGUAGAGUACACCUAGACUCAACAAAGAUGUGAAUGUUUAUAGUUUUGCAUAUGUUAGUAGAGAUUCAACUAGAGUUAUCUUAUUCUUUAAAAUAGAGAUGUCAACGGGUCAGAUUAGGGACAGAUUUUCAGCUACAAUUAUUCUAUAAUAAAAUGGAGGUUAUCAAUCAAACAAGUAUGGUGUUCCUACUAUAGUGAGAAGCAAAUAUGUGAUUUCAAAAGCAAUAUUCUAUAGAAUAUCUAAUUUGAGACUUUUAAUUCUAUUGCAAAUUUAAAUUUUUAGGGUAAAUUUGAUAUGGUGCUUCUCCCAAUAACACUUUUCUCAGACAACAUUGUAUCAGAUCGUUGGCGCUAACCAUUAAUUUCAAAAGCUCGAGCAGCUAGAAAGGUAUAAUCAAUUCACUUAAAAUGUAUAGAUACAGCGUUUACGGGUCUCGAUUGUAACUCAGCCCAAUCAGCCUUCCGCCACUUCGAACAUGACUCAGCCUAAUCUAACCUCCUAUUAUUAAUUUCGAACAUGACUCAGCCCAACCCUGCCUUCUGCCACAGGACAGGAUGUUGGCGCCUUUAAGCCAACGCAAUUGCACCCUGCAACUUGGCCGAAUGGGUAGAAAUUCUAGCUAAGUCAAACAAACCCUAAAAGGGUACUUGUCUCAUGUAGUUGUGCCGAAACAACUGAUUAUUGAAUACUUAACUGGAAAAUAAUAUUUUAAUAUAUAAUUAUAUAUUCAAGACUCUCCCUCUUGUUUGGGUUCGAGAUUUUCUUUCGUUCUUUUUUUUUAUAAAGCCUCCAAUUUUGUGGGAAUGAACUAAAUGAUAUUAAGAGCAUAUAUGGUGUAGGACUUUAUGCUCAGAAAUCAUGUGGAACAACUGAUUAUUUUAAUAAACUUAAUUUACUAAACAAUUAUGCUUAAUAUUUUGGAUUCAACAUGUCAUAAGUUGAAACACCCACAAAGAUUUAAGAAAAAAUUAAUAAGUUGAGACACCCACAAAGAUUUAAUAAAAAAUUAAGUCCCUCUUCUGAUAAUGAGAAGGGAUCUUUCAAUAGCUAAUUUUUUAAAAAAAAAAAAAUGGAGAAGGGGUUUUUCAAAAAAAGAAAUACCUUUAUCCUUAAGUAAUUAGGUAAACUUUAUUCUCAGCCAUAGUAUAAUCUCCAAUAAUUGUGUUUUUUUAAUUGUUUUUCUCAUUUGACCUUGAUCUUUGGUACCUUGGAUUUAUUUAAUAUUUAGAAGAUAAACCUAAUCUACUAUGUGGAUGUAGAUGAAACCAAUAAAAGGACAAGAAAUUAAUGGCUUAAAGGGAGCUCUUUAGUACAAUUCAUAGCACAUAAGAAAUAUAUAUAUAUAUAUAUAUAUGCUACUAAUAGCACGAAGUACUUGAUGCUACCAAGUUUUCCGCCGUUGGAUCUAUCCUUUUGAUCAUUUUCACCCGUUAGAUCAUACUAUUCAACUAACCACCCACUCCGCCCUAGGGGGCCCACAUCAUCCUAACCACACAUCUCUUAAUCCAAUGGCCAAAAACUUGGUAGCACCAAUGACUUGGUGCUAUUAAUAGCAUAGGCCUAGUUAUAUAUAUAUAUAUAUAUAUAUAUAUGAAUUGAGCUAGAAUACUUUUGGAAGCACCAAUCAUUUAAUGCUUCUAAAUUUCUAGCCCUUGAAUCUACUCUUUGAUUACUAAUAGCCUUUGGAUCAAACACUAUUCCACCUACCACCAUUUACCACCAUCAUCCCAAUCUCACAUCUGUCUAUCCAAUGGCUAAAAACUCAAAAACAGCACCUUCAUGGUGCUUUUGAUCUUCUAGACCUCAGCUCUCUCUUUCUCUCUCUCUCUCUAUAUAUAUAUAUAUAUAUUAUUUUUUUUUUUUUUUGAGAGCUAGGUAGCAUGCUACCCGCUUCGUUUAUUUCAUUUAGAAAUAAACUUAGCUAGAAAUGUGAAUCAACUAGGAUUCGAACUUGGGUCUCGGGUAUCAACUACUAAGCUCUUUACCACUUACUCUAGGGACGGUCAGUUAUAUAUAUAUAUUGUUAAGUAUAUUAUUGGGCUUGUUUUCAAUUAUAUUGAUUUUUUUUAUAUUUUUGAGCCAGUUCUAAACUCCUUCAGUUCUAAGAGGCACAGAGAGUUUGUUUAAUUCAUUGUAUUUUCGAGAUUUCCAGAUAUAUGGGUUAGAAAUUGAGGAUCUGU
rnacentral:lncRNA from 1 species